rnacentral:rRNA from 1 species
CCUACGGGAGGCUGCAGUGGGGAAUAUUGCGCAAUGGGCGAAAGCCUGACGCAGCGACGCCGCGUGAGGGAUGAAGGUCUUCGGAUCGUAAACCUCUGUCAGCAGGGAAGAACGGUCACUGUGCUAAUCAGCAGUGAAUUGACGGUACCUGCAAAGGAAGCACCGGCUAACUCCGUGCCAGCCGCCGCGGUAAUACGGAGGGUGCGAGCGUUAAUGGGAAUUACUGGGCGUAAAGCGAUCGUAGGCGGUAUGUCAAGUCAAGGGUGAAAUCCCCGCGCUCAACGUGGGAACUGCCUUUGAAACUGGCAAACUGGAGUGUGAGAGAGGAUAGUGGAAUUCCAGGUGUAGGAGUGAAAUCCGUAGAUAUCGGGAGGAACAUCAGUGGCGAAGGCGACUAUCUGGCACAUAACUGACGCUGAGGAGCGAAAGCGUGGGUAGCAAACAGGAUUAGAUACCCCUGUAGUC